rnacentral:tRNA from 1 species
GGUGAGAUGGCAGAACGGUUAUGCGUGGGCCUGCAAAGCCUAUUUAUAAGGGUUCAAUUCCCUUUCUCACCU